UUGAUUUUGAUCAAGGCUUUCUUGAUGUAUACUCUGAUGUUUUGCUCAAAUUAAUCCUGAUGAUUUUCUUGAUUGGGAAGGUGACUUUUCCUCCAAGGAAGAGGACAGAUUGUUAUGAUUUUGGCAGAGUUUUCCCAGUAAAGGAAUUGAAGGAAGGGGAGAUUCCUGGGUGCUGAACUAUUGAUGUUCAUUGCUCUGUUCAAGAAGAACAAGAAACUUUUCAGGAUAGUCAAAAGCAUAGGAAAAGCUGAAGCUGAAGAUACCAUGCACAAAAACAGGAGAGUUUCCAUUGAAACCAGUCCAAAUUAUGAUUGAACCCCAGCAUUGAGCUGAUGCUUCAUAACGUGUUUUUAUAAGAGACAUAGGCUGCUCGAGUUGUCUGAAUAUACCCCAUAGUCCCUCUGAUGCCUGUACACAAGUCCUUGGGGCCUCCAGAAAGGAAGCUUGAUAAAGAGCCAUUGUGCAUAAAAAAAAAAAAAAAAAAAACACCAGUAAUCAGUGUUCACCCUCAUGACAGUAACGCAGCAACUGUCCUUGAUUCUUAUGACAGUGUCAAAGGCUUCUACCAUCGCUUGUACUCAGGAUUCUGUGAUAAAGCUGCAGAUUUUUGAGGUUCAAGUGGUGGAAAACUAGAGAAAUUGCAGCCAGAGAAACGAAGAAGAAAAACGCAGAGGGGCCUAAGAGGACUGAGAGUAUUAGAAUUGCUUUAUUUUGGUUGCCUCUGCCUGAAGUUAGUUCACUGGACUUCAAUAUCUUGAUUAGAGCACUUCUGGAAACAUCAGUUUGAUCCAACCUCCCAUUUGAAAGAGGUAGUCUUUUCCUCCAACAGCUUCCAGUUCCAUUUGCAAACCUCAGGUCCUCAAAAAUAGCAACUGCACAGUAGGCUCCAACACCAAUCCCUGGGUUGGCAAUAUGGUAUUAGUUGGGUGCUUGAAGCUCUCCCAUAUACUGGUAUACAAUUUCCAUGUCCAAGCAUGGCACCAUGCACUGCUUUGCUGCUCACAUUACCAGUCUUUGUCUUCAUCUCUUAGCCUCUGGAGAACAGGUUGUCCAUUGGUAGUAAGCUCAACUUUUGAUCCUCUUGGCACCGGUUAACUUCCAUUUGCAGUCCAGAUAGCAAGAAGGAUAUUGAUCCUUUUCACUUGGAGAGGGUCAGAAUCCAAAUGCAAAAUCACCAGACAUAGAGAGAUGAACCCAAGCUUAUAUUACUAUAAGCUUGGCUGAUGAGUAACAAGUAGAGGUAGAGAGACAAUGUAUGUAAGUUAUUAUGUGCAUAAUUGGUCACCCGACUGCUUUUCUCUGCAUGUUUAUUAAAUUGAAAGAGUCUAGUGAAUAUUACUUUCUUCUAUAAUUGAACAUUCUCCUGUAAUUGAGUAGUGUGAAAGCAAUUUUUUUUCUUCUUCAACAAAUGAAUAUUGAGAGCAUAAGAUUA